rnacentral:lncRNA from 1 species
AACAAUGUCAAGGAGUUAAUAGUCUUGGCAACACAGAGGCCACUGGACAGAGGCAUAACCUUGCGUGGCAGCUGCACGGGAAUUGGAUUUGGCUCAGGUGUUUCAGAUGACUAAGAAAACCAAAAGAUCCUGCCUUACUAUGCACCUAUGGCCCUUCAAAGGCGAGAGUAGAAUCUGCUAUGAUUUAGAAGCAAGCAAUAAAAAGUACACAUCAGGGUGCCUAGAGACUUCACCUCUAUUUCCAUGAGGGACUGAACAGCCUCUUGAGAAGGGACUCAUCAAAAUGGAAGAGUUGGCAAUAAGAAGUUUGGCUAAAUAACCAAGCACUGAAGUUGCAGAGGAGAAAGGAUUUGAAAGGCAGUACAGUGUCCAGGGGCAAGUUGGCAAUUUUUAGCAGGAGGUGAAGUGAUGCCAGCAGAGGUAACAGUGCUCAGAGGGACCAGUAGUCCCCAGGAGGAGCAGGGGAAUCCCCAGUGGAUCUGAUUUGUUCAAGAGCACAUGUGAGAUUAUCAGCUGGCGUUACAAUUUUGGAGUGGCAGUGAGAAGCAGUGAAUUUGAGGUCACUCAAUUUGCAGACCCCAAAGGGUGAAAUGUUGAGAAACAUGAGUUACACAUGUAUUUAACAGCUCUUGUGUAUUAUCACAAAUCCUAUUUCACCUCUCAUGCCCCCGAGGCUUUGGUGUCCAGUUCUCUGAAGACUUCAUCAAUCCUCAGCCAUAAAUCACCUGAGAGCAACUCACCUUGCUUCAUACUAUGAAGCUCCCUGAUGUCACAGCAUGGCAGGCCUGUGGCAACCCCUCAACACUUAUGCAUGAUCCCAAACAGCUAGAGGAUUAACACCUACGGUGUAACCCUUGACCAGCAGGAAAUGGAAAUUACUGUCUUUUUGUCCCCGCAGGUGAAUGGUUCUAAAAUGCAUUUUAUAAGCCUUCUGAAAUAGUCCCACAGGUCAAGCACCUACUUGCUCCAGUGGUGACCAACUCAAUGAUGCAUCCUUGGGUUGACUCUCCCUCCUUUCCAGUUCACUUUCCCCGCCCCUCACUCCUGCACCUCAGCAUCACAUUCCUGAAUAAACCACUCACACAUCUGUCUUAUUUCAGACUCUGUUUGGGGGAAUCCACAAUAAAAAUUUGUCAUUUUGAGUUAAACAUUGCUCUCACCUUGAAGACAUAUUUCCAUACCUAGAGAUUUCUGAAGUUCUCUCCCUUUUCCUAUCAUCUCCUUUGUGCUUUGUCUGACCUCCAUGUUACAGAGCCCCAUGAUAUUUAGAGCCAGUACUGCUAGGGAAGUAGUUCAGUUGUGUUUUAAAUGGUUCAGCAACUUGUAACAUCAACUGAGAACCAGAGGAAUACACUUGGAGGCCAAGAAAAAAAUGUUAGCUAAUAUGUACCAUACAGUAUGAUUCCUUGGGUAAGGGAAAGUAUAUGCAAGUGACAGAGGAAAAUUGAAAGUUGUAGCCCUUUUUUGGACUUUAGAUUUGGAAUUAAAGUUUCUCUUCUCUUGAAAGACCUUCUUUUUGUGGAUAAUGAUGAAUCUGAAGACCAGAACAGUGGGCCAAUUUGCCUUAGUUGAGAGUGGCAAAUAAAUGAAGAACUGAAGAACGUAUCUCUUUAACUAGUGCUCCUUUGUUGAGAAGAUACAAAACAAACAAUUGAAGGGUAUGGAUGAAGCCAUUGGCUUAUUCAUGUCUCUGUUGAUCAUAAUGAGAUUAAUAUAUAUAGGACAUUCACACAAAGAGGAUAUUGACUCGAUGGCUUACAGAUUAUUAGAGUUAGAAAUGUGACCUACUACUAAAGGAAGAAUGUUUCAGGUGUGGAUCUCUGAUUUAAAAAAUACACCACACUUGCCUCAGUGAAGCAAGUCAACUUAGGUGCUGAUACAAUGCCACUGCAGCUGUGCUGAGUUCAUGAAAUCAGAUCCCACUCUCUUCACCUACCCCUACCGUAUUCAUCCUACUUUCCGUCUGCUCUGCCCUUCCCAUUUGGUAACCUAGUCAUGAAACACCUGGCUCUGGGUCCUUCCUUCAGCAUCACUCCACGUUGUACUGCUGGCAUCGCUUUUCUUGGCACAGAACCUCUUAGGGCUGCUAUCCUAGGAGUAGGUGCUACUCAGGCUGGCUUAGUCCCAGGCUUCACUCACUUCUUGGCCCAUGGCCAGGAGGACCGGAAAGAACAAACUCUCUGCACAUCUCUGCAGGUGGCCACAGAGCCCCCAUCUGAGCCUUGCUGAUGGAGAAGAGCAUGCUGCAUCACAAGAUAACUGUGUGGCUCUGUUCAAAAACCUUGUUUAGAAGUUAUUAUUUCUUUUAUUGCAUUAGAAUUUGCCUCACUGUAGCUUUUGUGCUUCUGUCCUGGUUCAGCCUUAGAUAGCAGUGCAGCCUGGUCCAUGUGAAAGCUCUUGCAAUAGGCCUUUCUGCUAGUCAGGAGUUCUCAGACCCAUCCCUACUCUUCACUUUUCUCAAGACUAAUAUCAGACUCCUGGGCUCUUCAAGGUUUCCUCAUAUGAUAAAAGUUCUAAGCCCUCCAUUGUCCUAGUCACUGUCCUCUCUGUUCCAUCCCUGUCUGCCCUUCCAAGAUGCUGCACCUGGAGAUGAAUUUGUCCUUCCUGGGGCAAGUCACCAUGAGAUGAUUACUUUUGGAUCAUACUGAAUUUGUGGGUUAAAUAAACUCAUAGGUCUUUAUCUCAUGCACUAAAUCCAAAUUCGAUCUCUUGCCGUAAAUCAUUUUUUUGAAUAGCUGAACAAUAAGUAAAUAAUACACAAAUGAAAACUAAUCAAUAUUUGAACAUCCUCAGUAUUUUCAGCCCUAGUUUGAGCCAGACAUAGCUCAUCUUGUAUACUUCACUAAGGACACUUUAUACGAUCAAGCAAUUAAUAUUAUGAUGUCAUGUCUCGCAAGCCCCAUAGUGUCACUUCCAGUCUCUUCACCACAAAGAACGUUGAAGCCUUCGUAUUUUUUUGAAAAUCAUAUUUCUAGCUGCAGGAUGGGAUGUAAGAAAAGUUCAGAUUAGGAUUAUUCUAGGCUCCUGACUAUAACUAAAAUCCUGAUUUUUUAUGGAAAGGAAUGAGGAUCAUUCCUU